rnacentral:rRNA from 1 species
UGAAUACGAGAUGCUACGGCGUCGAAGCAGUGUAUGUCAGACUUCCAAGAAAAGCUCGCAAUGUCAUAAAUAAAGAAUGCCUGUACCAUAACCGACACAGGUGGGUAGGUAGAGUAUACUAAGGGGCGCGAGAUAACUCUCUCUAAGGAACUCGGCAAAAUAACUCCGUAACUUCGGGAGAAGGAGCGCCUUCUUUAAGAAGGUUGCAAUAACAAGAUCCAAGCAACUGUUUAUCAAAAACACAGGUCUCCGCUAAGUCGUAAGACGAUGUAUGGGGGCUGACGCCUGCCCAGUGCCAGAAGGUUAAAGAAGUUGGUUAGCUUUUGCGAAGCUGAUGACUGAAGCCCUGGUGAACGGCGGCCGUAACUAUAACGGUCCUAAGGUAGCGAAAUUCCUUGUCGGGUAAGUUCCGACCCGCACGAAAGGCGUAAUGAUUUGGAUACUGUCUCGGAGAGGGGCUCGGUGAAAUAGACUUGUCUGUGAAGAUGCGGACUACCUGCACCAGGACAGAAAGACCCUAUGAAGCUUUACUGUAACUUGAAAUUGAAAUUGGACUUUAUUUGCGCAGUAUAGGUGGAAGGCGUUGAAAGUAAUCUUGCGGGAUUAGUGGAGCCAUCAGUGAGAUACCACUCCUAUAAUGUUAGAUUUCUAACUUUGGAUCAUGAUCUGGUCAAAGAACAGUUUCAGGCGGGCAGUUUGACUGGGGCGGUCGCCUCCCAAAUGGUAACGGAGGCGUACAAAGGUUUCCUCUGAACGGGUAGAAAUCGUAUCAAGAGUGUAAAGGCAUAAGGAAGCUUGACUGUGAGACCUACAAGUCGAGCAGGGACGAAAGUCGGUCUUAGUGAUCUGACGGUGCUGAGUGGAAAGGCCGUCACUCAACGGAUAAAAGUUACUCUAAGGAUAACAGGCUGAUCUCCCCCAAGAGUUCACAUCGACGGGGAGGUUUGGCACCUCGAUGUCGGCUCAUCGCAUCCUGGGGCGGUAGUACGUCCCAAGGGUUGGGCUGUUCGCCCAUGAAAGCGGUACGCGAGCUGGGUUCAGAACGUCGUGAGACAGUUCGGUCCAUAUCCGGUGUAGGCGUUAGAAUAUUGAGAGGAGCCUUCUUUAGUACGAGAGGACCGAGAAGGACAUACCUCUGGUGUACCAGUUAUCGUGCCAACGGUAAACGCUGGGUAGCUAUGUAUGGAGAGGAUAACCGCUGAAAGCAUCUAAGUGGGAAGCCCACCUCAAGAUGAGUAUUCUCAU